rnacentral:snRNA from 1 species
AUUAAUACUGUGCAUAGUUCAUGAUCAUGAAAGUAGUUUUCCUAGGAUGAGGCCUGUCUCUUGCAUUCCAGGCAGGCUGACCUUUGUGAGUUUCCCCAAAUGUGGAAAACUUAGCUGCACAAUUUUAUGGUGAUGGAGCUUACACCUA